rnacentral:rRNA from 1 species
UACAGAGGUCUCAAGCGUUGUUCGGAUUCAUUGGGCGUAAAGGGUGCGUAGGUGGCAUGGUAAGUCGGAUGUGAAAUCCCGGGGCUCAACCCCGGAACUGCAUUCGAUACUGCUGCGCUAGAGUACUGGAGAGGAGAUUGGAAUUUACGGUGUAGCAGUGAAAUGCGUAGAUAUCGUAAGGAAGACCAGUGGCGAAGGCGGAUCUCUGGACAGCUACUGACACUGAGGCACGAAGGCCAGGGGAGCAAACGGG